rnacentral:rRNA from 1 species
GACGAACGCUGGCGGCGUGCUUAACACAUGCAAGUCGAACGGAGUGGCGAACGGGUGAGUAACACGUGGGUGACCUGCCCUGCACUUCGGGAUAAGCCUGGGAAACUGGGUCUAAUACCGGAUAGUGUGGGAUGGGCCCGCGGCCUAUCAGCUUGUUGGUGGGGUAAUGGCCUACCAAGGCGGCGAUCAGUAGCGGGUCUGAGAGGAUGAUCCGCCACACUGGGACUGAGACACGGCCCAGACUCCUACGGGAGGCAGCAGUGGGGAAUAUUGCACAAUGGGCGGAAGCCUGAUGCAGCGACGCCGCGUGGGGGAUGAAGGCCUUCGGGUUGUAAACUCCUUUCGACAGGGACGCGGUACCUGUAUAAGAAGCACCGGCUAACUACGUGCCAGCAGCCGCGGUAAUAC